GCAGUAGCCACGGUAAUACAGAGGGUGCGAGCGUUAAUCGGAUUUACUGGGCGUAAAGCGUGCGUAGGCGGCUUCUUAAGUCGGAUGUGAAAUCCCUGAGCUUAACUUAGGAAUUGCAUUCGAUACUGGGAAGCUAGAGUAUGGGAGAGGAUGGUAGAAUUCCAGGUGUAGCGGUGAAAUGCGUAGAGAUCUGGAGGAAUACCGAUGGCGAAGGCAGCCAUCUGGCCUAAUACUGACGCUGAGGUACGAAAGCAUGGGGAGCAAACAGGAUUAGAUACCCGUGUAGUCCCUGUCUCUUAUAA
rnacentral:rRNA from 1 species